rnacentral:rRNA from 1 species
GGGUCAGUAGGUUGGUCGUGCCACCGGUACGUACUGGUCUCACUGAUUCCUCCUUCCUGAAGAACCGUAAUGCCAUUAAUUUGGUGUUGCGGGGAAACAGGACUGUUACUUUGAAAAAAUUAGAGUGUUUAAAGCAAGCUAACGCUUGAAUACAUUAUCAUGGAAUAAUGAAAUAGGACGAUCGAUCCUAUUUUGUCGGUUUCUAGGAUUGACGUA